AUUGAACGCUAGCGGCAUGCUUUACACAUGCAAGUCGAACGAGUGGCGGACGGGUGAGUAAUAUAUGGGAACGUGCCUAGUGGCGGGGGAUAACUACUGGAAACAGUGGCUAAUACCGCAUACUAUCAGAUCUGCCCAUAUCGGAUUAGCUAGUUGGUGGGGUAACGGCUCACCAAGGCAACGAUCCCUAGCUGGUUUGAGAGGACGACCAGCCACACUGGGACUGAGACACGGUCCAGACUCCUACGGGAGGCAGCAGUGGGGAAUUUUGGACAAUGGGGGAAAGCCUGAUGCAGCCAUCCCGCGUGUAUGAAGAAGGCCUUCGGGUUGUAAAGUACUUUCGGCGGGGAGGCGGUAUCUGCAGAAGAAGCACCGGCUAACUACGUGCCAGCAGCCGCGGUAAUAC
rnacentral:rRNA from 1 species